rnacentral:rRNA from 1 species
UACGGGGGGGGCAAACGUUGUUCGGAAUUACUGGGCGUAAAGGGCUCGUAGGCGGCCAACUAAGUCAGACGUGAAAUCCCUCGGCUUAACCGGGGAACUGCGUCUGAUACUGGAUGGCUUGAGUUUGGGAGAGGGAUGCGGAAUUCCAGGUGUAGCGGUGAAAUGCGUAGAUAUCUGGAGGAACACCGGUGGCGAAGGCGGCAUCCUGGACCAACACUGACGCUGAGUGAGCGAAAGCCAGGGGAGCAAACGGG